AUUGAUGCGUUGAUGAGGAUAGUAAAGUGUCCGGGACAUUUCAGAGAGGGAGCCGAGUGGUGAGAGGCUUUCAUGUUCCGCAUUUGAAUGUCACCUCGGAGCAGUUGCCGUGAAAUGAGUAGCGGGAACCGGAUGCGAAUCCGUUAUCGAACUUGAGAGCCAGGCGCAAUUCUGCCUGUGUAUAAAGGUGGUACCGCGAAAAACUCCUUCGUCCUUUAC
rnacentral:ncRNA from 1 species